rnacentral:rRNA from 1 species
AGAGUUUGAUCCUGGCUCAGGACGAACGCUGGCGGCGUGCCUAAUACAUGCAAGUAGAACGCUGAAGAGAGGAGCUUGCUCUUCUUGGAUGAGUUGCGAACGGGUGAGUAACGCGUAGGUAACCUGCCUUGUAGCGGGGGAUAACUAUUGGAAACGAUAGCUAAUACCGCAUAACAAUGGAUGACACAUGUCAUUUAUUUGAAAGGGGCAAUUGCUCCACUACAAGAUGGACCUGCGUUGUAUUAGCUAGUAGGUGAGGUAAUGGCUCACCUAGGCGACGAUACAUAGCCGACCUGAGAGGGUGAUCGGCCACACUGGGACUGAGACACGGCCCAGACUCCUACGGGAGGCAGCAGUAGGGAAUCUUCGGCAAUGGGGGCAACCCUGACCGAGCAACGCCGCGUGAGUGAAGAAGGUUUUCGGAUCGUAAAGCUCUGUUGUAAGUCAAGAACGGGUGUGAGAGUGGAAAGUUCACACUGUGACGGUAGCUUACCAGAAAGGGACGGCUAACUACGUGCCAGCAGCCGCGGUAAUACGUAGGUCCCGAGCGUUGUCCGGAUUUAUUGGGCGUAAAGCGAGCGCAGGCGGUUUGAUAAGUCUGAAGUUAAAGGCUGUGGCUCAACCAUAGUUCGCUUUGGAAACUGUCAAACUUGAGUGCAGAAGGGGAGAGUGGAAUUCCAUGUGUAGCGGUGAAAUGCGUAGAUAUAUGGAGGAACACCGGUGGCGAAAGCGGCUCUCUGGUCUGUAACUGACGCUGAGGCUCGAAAGCGUGGGGAGCGAACAGGAUUAGAUACCCUGGUAGUCCACGCCGUAAACG